AAUUGUAACAAGGUUUCUGUAGGUGAACCUGCGGAAGGAUCAUCAUCAAUUUCAUCAUAUCCCUUCCCCUCCAGGUUGGGAUCCAUGAUAAACCCUUCUGUGCACCGUAUCCGUUCACUUUGGCAGGCUUUGGUGGGGUGAGCAACAACCCCCCAACCUCUCGUUCUCCCUCCUCCACACGAGGGAGAAGGGUUUACGCGUUUCUUCGAACUCGACUGAAAAUAUUUCCUUUGAGGAAUCAAAUAACUGAAAACAACUUUCAACAACGGAUCUCUUGGCUCUG
rnacentral:misc_RNA from 1 species